GAUGAACGCUAGCGGGAGGCCUAACACAUGCAAGCCGAGCGGUAUUGUUUCUUCGGAAAUGAGAGAGCGGCGUACGGGUGCGUAACACGUGUGCAACCUGCCUUUAUCUGGGGGAUAGCCUUCCGAAAGGAAGAUUAAUACUCCAUAAUAUAUUGAACGGCAUCGUUUAAUAUUGAAAGCUCCGGCGGAUAGAGAUGGGCACGCGCAAGAUUAGCUAGUUGGUGAGGUAACGGCUCACCAAGGCGAUGAUCUUUAGGGGGCCUGAGAGGGUGAUCCCCCACACUGGUACUGAGACACGGACCAGACUCCUACGGGAGGCAGCAGUGAGGAAUAUUGGUCAAUGGGGGCAAGCCUGAACCAGCCAUCCCGCGUGAAGGACGACUGCCCUAUGGGUUGUAAACUUCUUUUGUAUAGGGAGAAACCUACCCUCGAGAGGGUAGCUGAAGGUACUAUACGAAUAAGCACCGGCUAACUCCGUG
rnacentral:rRNA from 1 species